GCUCCUAUAGCAUAGUGGUUAGUGCAUCUGCCUUGUAAGCGGAAGAUCGGGAGUUCGAAUCUCUCUGGGAGCU
rnacentral:tRNA from 1 species